rnacentral:rRNA from 1 species
UAAACGACUCUCGGCAACGGAUAUCUCGGCUCUCGCAUCGAUGAAGAACGUAGCGAAAUGCGAUACUUGGUGUGAAUUGCAGAAUCCAGCGAACCAUCGAGUCUUUGAACGCAAGUUGCGCCCGAAGCCAUUAGGUUGAGGGCACGUCUGCCUGGGCGUCUCGC